CCGUCUGCCUGUCCGGGUGUGGGCUGCGCUUUCCCACCCUGGCAGGGGCAGCCGCUCGCCUGGGUGAAGAUCUUCAUUCACCUGUGCAGCGGAGCAGAGCACAAGAACCUUGCUGAGGCGUCCCUUAGGGGGACUGAGCAGGACUGAGCAGGAAAAGCAGCACUUUCCCGCAGAGCCGAGGAGGCCCUCCAUUUCUGCAGGCUUCCCCUUGAGCAGGCUGAAGCUGAGGAAGAGAAGCCGUGGCAGAGCUGGGCUGGGAAGUCCUUCAGGGGUGGAGCAAAGCUCCAGGAGAGGAGCGGGGUUGCUACAUCCUGUGGGCGCCCGUUCCCUCCCUCGGGCACCCGGCUGCAGGUGUCACCUGGCUCCAGACAGCCGGGGUUCCUCUCCUCCAGAGCCGGAACACUCACUGAGUCCCGAGCACUCUACCCACUGUGCAUUCAGCACUCUGCUGGCCGACUCACAAGCACUUGCCCUUCCUCUGUCAACACCGCUGGCCUGUCACUCUGAGGCCCCUGGGGGGCGGGACCUCCCGUGUCCGGAAACCUCUGACAUUUUACUGUGGAGUUUCCAGGAAUCUAUCUGUUAUCGAAAUCUGUGACGGGUGAGAGAGGUACUGAGCAAUAUAGCCCGGAAAGUACUGAGCCCCGGGAGUACUGAGCCCAGAGAAAGUACUGAGCCCUGGCAGUACUGUGCCCCAGGAUGACUGAACCCACAGUGUACCGAGCCCCCGCAGGACUGAGUCGGGAGAGUAGUGAGCCCGGGAGAGGACUGAACCCCGAGAGUAGUGAGCCCCAGGAGGACUGAGCGCCGAGAGUAGUCAGUCAGGCCCAGGAGGACUAAGUCCCGAGAGUAGUCAGCCCAGAGAGUACUCAGCCGCAGGAGGACUGAGCCCCGAGAGUACUGAGCCCCAGGAUAACCCAGCACCCGAGUGACCCAGCGAGAAGGAAGGACCGUCGGCCACUCAAGAGCAAGCGCAGAACACGCCCACAACCCCCGUCACGUGACCCCGGGCCCAUCUACCAUUCCCACCCCCAAACCCCCGCAGCCGGAACCGGAUCCGGCCGGUUUCUCGGAGAAAUGCCCGAGGGGGCGGGGCCCGGCGGUGACAUCAGCCGCCAGGGCGGAAGCUGACCUGUGACCAGGAGACUGAGAACGCGUGGCUCCGCCCACGUCGGGGCAUUAACAUAUGGGCACAUGCAGAUGAGCUGUUAUCCCAGCGCCGUUGACAGGUGACGUCGCCAGCGCCCUCCGCGACCCCCGCGACCCCCGAUCCCCCGGGGGUCACCACGUCCGUGGGAGCUGCAGCAGGAGGAUGACCGCGAUGGACCAGGUCGGGACGCUCAUGGCGGCGGGAAGGACGGACGGACACGGGGACGCACGGACGGACGGACACCCGGU